GUGUUCCCUUCAGCAACAUAUCUAUUAAAAUAGGAAAGAUAAAGAGAUUACUAUGGCCCUGAGAAAGGAUGACAUGUAAGUUCUUAAAGUAUUCCAUAUUUUC